rnacentral:rRNA from 1 species
UACGUAGGGUGCGAGCGUUAAUCGGAAUUACUGGGCGUAAAGCGUGCGCAGGCGGUUCGUUGUGUCGGUGGUGAAAGCCCCGGGCUUAACCUGGGAAUGGCCGUCGAAACUGGCGAACUGGAGUGUGGCAGAGGGGGGUGGAAUUCCGCGUGUAGCAGUGAAAUGCGUAGAGAUGCGGAGGAACACCGAUGGCGAAGGCAGCCCCCUGGGCUAACACUGACGCUCAUGCACGAAAGCGUGGGGAGCAGACAGG